CUGUGCUGGCAGCUUGGGUCUGGAAGGCAUCCUGCGGCAUGCGGAACCUCAGCAUGCAUCUGGCCACUCAGGGCCACAGCUCCUGAACAAAAAUGCCAACCUUUUCCCUGGCAAACAAAACUACCAGCCCAGGUUCCUGAUGUCAGUUUGCAAGAGGCGCUUGGGACUCUCAAAGCAGCCUGAGUGUGCGGUGGUGGCAGCUUGGGUUUGGGAGGCAUCUUGUGCCAUGCGGAAUUUCAGAACAGAGUCCCACACUCAGGGCCACAGCGCCAUGAAAACAAAAAUGCCGGUCUUUUCCCUGGGAAACAAAAUUCACCAGCCCAGGUUCCUGGUGUCAGUUUGCAGGAGGAGCUUGGGACUCUCAAAGGAGCUGGAAAUUCCCAUGGUGGCAUAUUGGGCAUCCUUCGCCAUGUGGAACCUCAGCAGGCAGCCGGGCACUCAGGACCACAGGCCCCUGAAGGCCUACGCCGGCCCCUUACUCUCGGAAUCAGAAGUGACCAUUCAUGGCUCCUGGUGUCAGUUCUCAGGAGGCACUUGGAAUUGUUAUGGUAGCCCGAGUCAGACCUGGUGGCAGCACAGAGGAUAAGGAACCAAAGAGCCCAACCAGCCCUUGUGGGGACAACCAGGAGCACCUUCAGCAGCUGGGGAUGCAUUUUGGAUUGACAUGACAAGUCAUGGCUGCAAACAGUGCUUUAAAACAACAGAUCUCCUAUCUCAGGUGCCAGUUACUCAAACUCAACCUUGGGGGACAAAAAGACACAGCUUCUGUUGAUGGCAACACAAGAGAUGACAGUGCAGGCAGAUUUUGUUGAGCAAGGAUUCACUGCUAAACACUGCAGAACAGCUACCAACAAGGGAUAUUAGAUUAGAAGCCAUUCAUGGUUCUCUGUUUGUAAGCUACACCCAACCUCAGCAUAAGAUUAAUAAAUAUUAUUCUUUCCUGACUGAAAGCA